GUUUUGAUGGCAGUGAAGUUAGUGAUUGUAAUGGAUACAAUCAGCUAACUACACUGCCUACAAACC
rfam:Nestor notabilis contig10501, whole genome shotgun sequence.